CCCAUAGAGAGGUGGUCACCAGGAGGCAGUUGUAUAAGGCAGAUAUCUGGCUCGACCACGUUGAAAAUUGGGAGGAGGUACAGAACUGGAAAGGGCAAUAAGGGUGACUAAGCUCUGCUUCUGGCAUGAGAAAGCUAAACAUAUUCUAAAUGGAUGCUGAGGAGACAGAAGAGCAAAGGAAACAUGCAGAGGAGAAGGUGACGAGAAGAUGGAGGCCGAGAAGGAAAUGAUGCAUCUAUGAGCCAAAGAACAUCGAAGACUGCCAGCAGCCACCGGAAGGAAGUCUGGAGAGAGGCACAAACCAGCUUGCAGAUGGAACCAAUCCUAUUGACCUCUUAACUGGAUUUCUGGCCUCCAAACUUUAAGAGAAUAAAUUUCUCUUCUUUGAAGCCA